AAGGGAGACCUAAUUCAGGUAGGAGACGAAAAAAAAGUAGUCGCUACCAAGAAUCAAUCCCAAAAGGUCGGAGCGAGGCGAAAUUGGCUUUCAAACUAGGUUCUGGGUUCACACAAGACCUGAAUCAGGAACAAGGGCUAUUAGCUCAGGUGGUUAGAGCGCACCCCUGAUAAGGGUGAGGUCCCUGGUUCGAGUCCAGGAUGGCCCACCUGUACAGGUGGCAAAAAGAAAGAAAAGAAGCGAGGAAUCAGCACCUUAUCUUACUGACAUAGUAAGAGAGAAUGCUGGCUCUGAGUAAAGAGUCCAGAGGAACCUUGAAAACUGCAUAGAGCUAGGUGGAAAGGCCAAAAAAGAAGACCGCAA
rnacentral:tRNA from 1 species